rnacentral:rRNA from 1 species
GUGGGGAAUCUUAGACAAUGGGGGAAACCCUGAUCUAGCCAUGCCGCGUGAGCGAUGAAGGCCAUAGGGUUGUAAAGCUCUUUCAGCUGGGAAGAUAAUGACUGUACCAGCAGAAGAAGCCCCGGCUAACUCCGUGCCAGCAGCCGCGGUAAUACGGAGGGGGCUAGCGUUGUUCGGAAUUACUGGGCGUAAAGCGCACGUAGGCGGACCGGAAAGUCAGAGGUGAAAUCCCAGGGCUCAACCUUGGAACUGCCUUUGAAACUCCUGGUCUUGAGGUCGAGAGAGGUGAGUGGAAUUCCGAGUGUAGAGGUGAAAUUCGUAGAUAUUCGGAGGAACACCAGUGGCGAAGGCGGCUCACUGGCUCGAUACUGACGCUGAGGUGCGAAAGCGUGGGGAGCAAACAGGAUUAGAAACCCUGGUAGUCC